UACGAAGGUCCCAAGCGUUGUUCGGAAUCACUGGGCGUAAAGGGAGCGUAGGCGGCGUGGUAAGUCAGAUGUGAAAUCCCGGGGCUCAACCCCGGAACUGCAUCCGAUACUGCCAUGCUAGAGGAUUGGAGAGGUAGCUGGAAUUCUUGGUGUAGCAGUGAAAUGCGUAGAGAUCAAGAGGAACACUCGUGGCGAAAGCGAGCUACUGGACAACUCCUGACGCUGAGGCUCGAAGGCCAGGGUAGCAAACGGG
rnacentral:rRNA from 1 species